AAACACCGUGAUCACAGGUAUUGUCUCAGUAUGUCAUUAAGAUGCUUCUGUAUUAUUUGAUCCUAGUUCCACCUAUUCAUAUGUAUCAUCGUAUUUUACUCAUUAUCUGGAUAUGCCCCGUAAGUCUUUAGUUUCUUCAAUUCAUGUAUCUACGCCGAUGGGCGAUACUAUUAUUAUGGACCGGUCGUGUGUAGUGGCUAUCAAGGGAUUGGAGACUAGAGUUGAUCUCUUGCUUCUUAGUAUGGUUGAUUUUGACGUGAUCUUAGGUAUGGAUUGGUUGUCUCCAUGUCUUGCAAUUUUGGAUUGUCAUGCUAAGACUGUAACGUUGGCAAUGCCGGGGUUGCCACAGAUUGAGUGACGAGGUUCUUUAGACUAUGUUUCUAGUAGAGUGAUUUCAUACUUGAAGGCCUAGCGGAUGGUUGGGAAGGGUUGUCUCUCUUAUUUGGCCUUUGUAAGGGAUGCCAGUGCAGAAACCCCUACUAUUGAUUCUGUUCUGGUGGUGUAAGAGUUUCUGGAUGUGUUUUCUGCAGACCUGCCAGGCAUGCCACCCGACAGGGACAUUGAUUUUGGUAUUGACUUGGUGCCGGGCACUCAGCCCAUUUUUAUUCCUCCGUACCGUACGACACCGGUUGAAUUGAAGGAGUUGAAAGAGCAACUUCAAGAACUCCUUGAGAAGGGAUUUAUUAGGCCUAGUGUGUCAACUUAGGGUGUAUCAGUUCUGUUCGUGAAGAAGAAGGAUGACACUAUGAGAAUGUGCAUUGACUAUAGAAAGUUGAACAAAGUCACAAUUAAGAACAAGUAUCCUUUGCCGUGUAUUAAUGAUAUAUUUGACCAGCUUCAGGGAGCGAGGGUGUUCUCCAAGAUUGAUUGGAGGUCUGGGUAUCACUAGUUGAAGAUUCGGGACUCGGAUAUUCUUAAGAUAGAUUUUAGGACCCAUUCGUGAUGUCUUUUGGGUUGACCAACACCCCAACAACGUUCAUGCAUCUGAUGAACAAUAUAUUUUGGCCUUAUCUCGACUCGUUUGUUAUUGUGUUCAUUGAUGAUAUCCUAGUGUACUCUCGUAGCCAGGAAGAGCACGCCCAAUAUUUGAGGGUCGUGUUGCAGCGGUUGAGGGAGAAGCUUUAUGCCAAGUUCUCCAAGUGUGAGUUUUGGCUCAGUUCAGUGGUUUUCUUGGGGCACGUAGUGUCUAGUGAGGGUAUUCAGGUGGAUCAAAAGAAGAUAGAGGCGGUUUAGAGUUGGCCCAGACCGUCCUCAACUACAAAGAUUCAGAGCUUUCUUGGUUUGGCUAGUUAUUACUGUCGCUUCGUGCAAGGUUUCUCGUUUAUUGCAUCUCCUUUAACCAAAUUGACCCAAAAUGGUGCUCUUUUCAGGUGGUCGAAUGAGUGUGAGGAGAGCUUUCAGAAGCUCAAGACUGCCUUGACCACCACUCCAAUUCUAGUUCUACCAUCAGCUUCUGAUUCUUAUACAGUAUACUGUGAUGCUUCUCAGAUCGGUAUUGGGUAUGUUUUGAUACUGGAGGUAGAGUAAUUGUUUAUGCUUCUCGUCAGUUGAAGCCUCAUAAGAAGAACUACCAUGUUCAUGAUUUGGAGUUGGCUGUCAUUGUUCAUGCGUUAAAAAUUUGGAGGUACUACCUCUAUGGUGUGUCUUGUGAAAUAUUUACUGAUCAUUAUAGCCUCCAGUAAUUGUUCAAAUAAAAGGAUGUAAAUUUGAGGCAGCGGAGAUAGUUGGAGCUGCUAAAGGACUAUGAUAUUACUAUUUUGUGUCAUUUGGGAAAGGCCAAUGUGGUGGUCAAUGCCUUGAGUAGGAAGGCAGUGAGUAUGGGUAGUCUUGCAUUCAUUCCUGUUGGUGAGAGACCUCUUGCAGUUGAUGUUUAAGCCCUGGCGAACCAGUUCGUGAGAUUAGAUGUUUCAGAGUCCAGUCGGGUUCUAGCUUGUGUGGUUUCUCGGUCUUCCUUAUUUGAUCGCAUCAUAGAGCACCAGUAUAAUGAUCCUCAUUUGCUUGUCCUCAAGGACAGGGUUCAGCACGGUGAUGCCAGAGAUGUUUCUAUAGGAGAUGGUGAGGUGUUGAGGAUGCAAGGCCAGAUAUGUGUGCCCAAUGUAGAUGGGCUACGAAAGUUUAUUCUUGAGGAGGCCCACAGUUCGCGGUAUUUCAUCUAUCCGGUUGCCGCGAAGAUGUACCAGGAUUUGAGACGGCACUAUUGGUAGAGGAAAAUAAAGAAGGAUAUAGUUGGGUUUGUAGCUCGAUGUCUCAAUUGUCAGCAGGUAAAUUAUGAGCAUCAAAGACCGGGUGGAUUACUUCAGAGGAUAGAGAUUUCGGAGUAGAAGUGGGAGCGGAUCACCAUGGAUUUCAUAGUUAGGCUCCCACGGACUUCGAGGAAGUUCGAUGCUAUUUGGGUGAUUGUGGAUCGGCUAACCAAGUCCCCACACUUUAUUCCAGUGGGUACUACUUAUUCUUCAGAUCGGUUGGCCGAGAUUUACAUCAAGGAGAUUGUUCACCUUCAUGGUGUGCCAGUUUCCAUCAUUUUAGAUAGAGGCACGCAGUUUACAUUGCAUUUUUAGAGAGCCGUGCAGCGAGAGUUAGGCCUUUAGGUUGAGUUGAGUACAACAUUUCACCUUCAGACAGAUGACAGUUCGAGCGCACUAUUCAGAUAUUGGAGAACAUGCUACACGCUUGUGUCAUUGAUUUCGGGGGUUCAUGGGACCAAUUUCUGCCGCUCGCGGAGUUUUCUUACAACAACAGUUAUCAGUCGAGCAUUCGGAUGGCCCCGUAUGAGGCUUUGUAUGGGAGGCGGUGUAGAUCUCCAGUGGGUUAGUUUGAGCCGGGCGAGGCUAAGUUAAUGGGUACUGACUUGGUUCAGGAUGCUUUGGACAGGGUUAAAUUGAUUCAAGAGCGACUUCACACUGUGCAGUCUAGACAGAAGAGUUAUGUUGACAGGAAGGUCCGUGAUGUGUCUUACAUGGUUGGGGAGAAGAUUUUGCUAAAGGUUUCACCCAUGAAGGGUGUUAUGAGAUUUGGGAAGAAGGGCAAAUUGAGCCCUCGGUUCAUUGGGCUUUUGAGGUAAUUCAGAGGAUUGGGGAGGUGGCUUACAAGCUUGCCUUGCCACAUAGCUUGUCGAGUGUGCAUCUAGUUUUUCAUGUUUCUAUGCUCCAGAAGUAUAUCGACUAUCCGUCUCAUGUUUUGGAUUUCAACACGGUUCAGUUGGAUGGUGAUUUGACUUAUGAUGUGGAGCCGGUGGCCAUUUUGGAUCGGCAGGUUCGAAAGUUGAGAUCAAAGGAUAUAGCUUUAGUAAAGGUGCAGUGGAGAGGUUAUUCUGUGGAGGAGGCUACUUGGGAGACCGAGUGGGAGAUGCAGAGCAGAUAUCUACACAUAUUUGAGACUCCAGGUAUAUUUCUUAACCCGUUUGAGGACAAAUGUUUAUUUAAGAGGGGGAGGACGUAACGACCCGGCCGGUCAUUUCGAGAGUUAUAGCCUUGUUCCCCUAUUUUCUGCUCCUUUUGUGUUCUACAACUGUUAUAUGACUUACCGAGUUGGUUGGUUUGGAUCUGGAGAGAUUUCAUAGUGAAUUGAGACACUUAGUCUCUUAAUUGAAAGCUUAAGUUGGAAAAGUUGAUCGGAUGUCAACUUAUGUGUAAACGACCUCUAAUUUAAAUUUUGAUGGUUAUGUUAGCUCCAUUAGGUGAUUUUGGACUUAGGAGCGCAUCUGAAUUAGAAUUUGGAGGUCCGUAGUAGAGUUAGGCUUGAAAUGACAAAAAAUGGAAUUUUGGAGAGUUUGACUGGGAGUGAACUUUUUGAUAUCGGGGUCGGAUUGGAUUUCUGGAAGUUGGAGUAAGUUCGUCGUGUCAUUUAUGACUUGUGUGCAAAAUUUGAGGUCAAUUAGGCGUGAUUUGAUAGGUAUCAGCGUCAUUUGUAGAAUUUGGAAAUUUCAAAUUUCAUUAGGCUUGAAUCCGUGUGUAAUUCGUGUUUUUGAUGUUGUUUGAGGUGAUUUGAGGGUUCGACUAAGUUCGUAUGAUGUUUUGAGACUUGAUGGAAUAUUUGGUUGAGGUCCCGGGGGCCUCGGAUGAAUUUCGGGUGGUUAACGGAUCAUUUUUGGACUUAGGUUGCUGGGUGAUAACUGCUGGUGUGUUUCUUCUGGUUUCCUCUUACGCGUUCGUGGGGCAGGGUUCACGUUCGCGAAGAGUGGAGUUGGCUAAGCUUCGCGUUCGGGAAGCUGUGGUCGCAUUCACAAAGUGUUAAAUUGAGAGCCAGGCAAAUUGGUCUAUGUGAACGCGAGCAAAAGGACGCAUUCGCGAUGAAAGUGCAUUAGGGCAGAUUUAAACGAUUCAAAACGAGGGUUUCGAGUUCAUAUCAUAAAAUUGAAGUGGGAGCUCGGUAGAAGGAGAUUUUUGGAGAGAUUCUUGCGUGGGUGUUUGGGGUAAGUGAUUCCUAUCUAAUUUUGGUCAAAUUCAUGCUUUAAUUCCAUCAUCUAAUUGUGAUUUAGGGAGGAAACUUUGGAAAAAUGAAGAAGAGUUCUUGGAGUAGAUUUUUGAGGUUUUGAAUGGGAUUUUGUUAUCGGAUUUGAGUAAAUUUGGUAUGGUUAGACUCGUGAGUGAAUGUACUUUCGAAUUUUGUGACUUUUGUCGGAUUUCGAGAUUUUGGCUAUAAUUUAGUGUUUUUCUUGUGCAAUUGAUCCCUUUAGCCUAUAUUAAUUGUAUUGUACUUCUUGUGGCUAUAUUCAGGACGUUUGGAGACUGAUUUGAGAGGCAAAUGCAUUGUAGAGUAGAGUUUUGCCCGGAUUGAGGUAAGUAACACUUUCAAACUUGAUUCUGAGCGUUUGAAACCCCAAAUUAUAUUUUAUGUGAUUGGUAUUGAGGUGACACAAAUGCUAAGUGACGGGCAUGCGGGAGUGCAUCAUGAAAAUUAUGAAUUGGUUGAUUCCAUGGCACUGUAUAGUGGAUCUAUCUUGUUGAUAUUUGUGUUUUUAUCUUGUGAGAAAGUAAUAGAGUUGUCAAUCAUGCUAGAUAUCAUGUUUGGGCUUUAUGCUAGUACUGUUGGGACCCAUAGUGGUCGUUUCUUGCGGUCAUGUUACUGAAUUCAUUGAUGUUUCAUAUUCAGUCAUAUUCAUUCAUUUCAUAUCAUAUCUUAGUUUCAGUUGUUAUUUAUUGAUACAUCAUAUCAUUAUUUUCGGGAUAGUUUCAUGAUAUUGUGAGCCCGUAAAUGAGGCUGGAGAGAUUGAUGACUGAGUAUGGCCGGGGGCCUGGUUAUGAGUGACAGUUAUGGGAUCGGGUUGUACGCUGCAUCGAUUAUACUGAUUUAUGAUAGCGCUUGGGGUGAAGGAGCCCCUCCGGAGUCUGUACACCCCCUCCAGUGAGCGCGAUUGAUAUUGAAGGAUGGAUCUUCCCUGGAAAUGGAUCUUAUCCAAAGCAUUAUAUACCUAGAGAUAGAUCUUCUCCACGGGAUGGAUUGGCCUUACUCGGUACUGGGUGACUAAUGGUCAAUGAUGUGUAUAUAUUCCGAGAUGGAUCUUCCCUGGGCAGCAUGGGCCAUAUAUAGUACGGAGUAUUGAGCAUUUGAGAGUGUGAGCACAUGAGGCUAUUAGUAUGGUGCUAGCACGUACAUCAUGUGCAUUGGCAUGUAGAAGUAGAAAAGUUAUAUUCUUCACAUUGUUCAGACUUGAUCUAUUUUACUGUUUGAGCUAUCUGAUUAACAUGAAAGCAUGCCUACAUUUCUGCAUUGCUAUUUCUAUUUUGAACUGUGCCGGUUGAGUUCUCACUACCUUUCAGUCCAAAGGUUGGACUUGUUACUUACUGAGUUGGUUGUACUCACGUUACACCCUGCACCUCGUGUGCAGAUCCAGGUGCUUCGGGUCACGGAGGUUGUUGAUCGAGGAAUUAGGAUUUGGAGACUAUCGAGGUAGCUACAUGGCGUUUGCAGGCCUUGACUCUCCUUCAUUAUCUCUAUCUGUACUUCAGUUUUUAUUCCUUAGACAUUGUUGUAUACUAUAUUCCGGUAUAGAUGCUUAUAUACUCUGUGACACCCCGGUUUUGGGAUAGAUUGUAUCGUAUUCCAGAUUAUUUCUGUUUCAAAAAGGCUUCUCUUAAAUA
rnacentral:lncRNA from 1 species